GUUCAUUGGUAACUAUUACUAAUAAUUGCGUAAUGCUCAUUUUCCAAAAGUGGAAGCAGUAAGCAAGCGGAAACACAAAACGGCGGGAAUCCCGAAACAACAACAACAAGUCGACAAGAAAAAAAAAACAAACAAAAACAAAAAAAAAACCCCAAAAAACACAAAAAGCUAUCGGAAAAGAUAAGAAAAAAGAAGCAGAACGACAAAGAAAGAUAAGACAAGAUAAAAAAACAAAAUUAAAAAGGCUGGAGGCUUUCUGGGCGUAUGCCGAACAAAAAAAUCGAAGCUUUCUCGAUCAGUUUCUUGCCUUCUAUGAAGGCAAUCAAAACCAGGAGACACAAGGGACCAGAGAACAAGAAACCCCACAGCAACCGCCGGGACUGUC